CAUUAAGAAUCAUCUAGUCAACUUGAAGGUAUUUGUUUUGUUGGAAAAGCUUUCCAAUAGGAAAAGUCUCAUAAGUCAGCACAGUUGAAUGUCUGAGGCUUGAGUUAUUAGCAAUUUUCGAAGAAAGCUUCAAACAGAAUUGUGGGAGGAGGUAGUAAAUCCUUGAUGCACAAGUUUUGCUCUUGCAAUCUUUCACCAUAUUCUGUUGUCUUACUUCGUUUUAGAGCAAUUGGAUUGUGUGAUUUUGUUGGCUUUCACCAGAGAUCGGUUCGUUCAUGGUCGUGUUAGGUAUGGUUUGUUCCAGACUUCAAGGAAUCAAGUGAUCAUGACACACGGUUCCUUAUCACCCAUGGCGGGAUGCCCUGGUGUUCCUCAAUCCUUCACUUAUGUUAUUAUAUGGGAAUCUUUUAGAUCUACUUGUUUUGAUGAUUCCCUCGAUUGGAGCACUGCUGAUUGGAGCCGUUCCACAUUAAUUGGAUGGUCUUAUUGCUGAUGUCAAAUGGUCUUGAGCCUUGUAGAUGAAAUCAAUGUUGCAGAGUCUCAUUGCUUGAUUGGCCGAGUAAAAUUCUUAGGAGGUUAUGGGAUGUUGAUAAGUUUGCUUAUCUCUUCAGGUGUUUCUCAUCGCUAGCCUAGGUAGCUGGUAGUCUCAGCAGAGUCAAACUAAAGUGGAUGAACUAGCUAUUAAAAACCGGGGUUUCAUCAGUUUGAUAUGGGAAACCUUCAGCAUGUCUUAUAUAAAGAAGUCAGAAAGACAUUGAGCUAGCAGUCCUUUAGCAGAUGGAUGUGGAACAAAUGCCUGUCGAAAAAGUUGAAGGAGAUGCUAAUGCUACCGGGUUGCUAGAGAGAGGGUACUUGUAGUACGAAUGUCCUCGUUACUAGUGAAGGUGCAGCAUUACAGCCCCCUGUUGCAGCAAGAUCUUCAAUUGCCAUCACUGUCAUAAUGAUGUGAAGACAUUCAAGCGGUAUCAUUAAAUUAUGUCUUGAGUCUGAGUCAUUUAUGGAAUCCAACCAGAUUGAAUAAAUAUCCAAGUUUGACAGCACAAUAAAAUUGAAGAGUUGGACUGACCUUUGCCGAAGGUUGGACGAAUGAGAGGAAAGAAGUCCCCUACCACUGCAAGACAAAAGGGGUUCCUCGUUGUGAGAAUGGCCGCCAGUGGCUUCUUUCUUUGAGAAGCGUGGAGUGGGCUCCUUCAACAAAGUGUAG